rnacentral:rRNA from 1 species
AUGUCAUUUGACGACGAAAAAGAUUUUAUUAUGUGCGAACACUGUGAAGACCAGCGCGGCCUGUGCGAUCAAAAUUUCCUUAUUGAUGGUAGGCACUUCAGCAUCAAGCUGGAUGAGACAUUCGAAGUUGAUACACGCAUGCCCUGCCAUGCAAGAAUUUUUGUCUUGGAUAAGAUAGGUUUUAGUGCUAUAGAUGAUAUGGAGGUAAAGAGAGUUUACUUGAAGACGGAGCAUGGGUAUACUUUCAACGUCAAAUUAUAUAAUGAAUACACAUACACCCAUUUUGAAUGCAAAACUUGGCAAGCACUAUGCAAGGCUUAUGCAUUUGAGCCUGAUAUGGUUAUCACCUUUGAUAUUCGUCCGGAAGAUGAUAUUGAAGGUAAUAUAGACAUCUGGGUCGAUGUGCAAACGCCUCCAGUUCUACCAUUUGCUUAUUUCGGUUCAAGCAAACAUGUCCGGCGCUUGGUAGACAGGACCUACUACUGUCCCGGGGCUCAACUAAACUGCGAGGAGAUAAGUCAUUAUGUUUCAUGA